ACUUGAAUUGAAGAGUUUGAUCAUGGCUCAGAUUGAACGCUGGCGGCAGGCUUAACACAUGCAAGUCGAACGGUAACAUAAAGAAGCUUGCUUCUUUGAUGACGAGUGGCGGACGGGUGAGUAAUGCUUGGGAAUCUAGCUUAUGGAGGGGGAUAACUACGGGAAACUGUAGCUAAUACCGCGUAAUAUCGAAAGAUUAAAGUGUGGGACCUUCGGGCCACAUGCCAUAGGAUGAGCCCAAGUGGGAUUAGG
rnacentral:rRNA from 1 species